AGGUACUAACGGUGUCCAUUUCCUAUUUUUCAUUUGCAGACGAAGCAGUCCAUAAGUUACCUGGGCACGUACAAUUUUGACAGAUCUGGCCUCCCGCCAAAGGAAGGUGUGUUAUCAGGUCAAAGGUCAACCCAGAGGAGGAUACGGACUUGUUCGGACACAGAGGCUCACAAUGACAGCUGUGUUUAUGAGAUGGACCGCGCUGCUGUGUCUCAAUGCCAGUGUGAACAGGGACUCCUACAGUGUCCCUGAGUGUGGUGCCAUCAGGCCUACCAGUCCCAGAGCUAUGUCAGACACUCCAGAGACUGACCUGUCCAUCUGACCUGUCCUGUAACUCACCAAAUACAUUGCAGUGGCUUCAGGUAAAGAGACUGGGCCCAAAUUCACAAACUUUCAUAAACAUUUGAGGUUCAUAAGAAAAUCAUGAAUUCUUAAGAAUAUUUGAGGAAUUGCACUUACGAACAAUCUUCUUGACUUUUCUUAAAAAGCUCAUGUUUUUUCUUUAAAGUUUUUUGUAAAUCCAGGUCUUGGGAGUUGAGAUUGGUAGUCCACUGUCAUGUAACUGAUCUGUCUGUUCAGUAACAAUUUGUAUUGUUUUUUUUUAUUAUUAUUAUCAUGUUUGCCACCAAAAAAGAGUAAUGCCGUAAAAAAGAUUUUGGGCAUGGAUGGAGUUCUGUGACUGUAUGAUAUAAUAUUUGAAAUGUAAAGAUGCAUCUUAAAAAUGAAGUUAAAUCACUUGUUUGUAUAUGAGGGUUAUAGCAAUUUUUGCACUUUCCGCAAUUCUUUAGCACUACUAAAAUGUCCUUAGGAAAUAUGUUGCAAUGAGGGCUCAUCUUCAGUGUCAGUGUAGAAGUGCUGAUCUAGGAACAGUUUGCCUUUUAGAUCAUAAUGAAUACAGUUAUAUGGGAACGAGGUUGCUGAUUCUAGAUCAGUACUACUAGUCUAAAAUGUUUUAUGAAUAUCUGAUAAACCUGUCAUAUUGAACAGUUGUCCCUCUAUUCUGAAAGGCUGUCACAUAGCCUAACCCCUUUUCAUCUUAAGAAAUACGAUGCAAUACAAUGCAUUCAUUAUCUGUGAAAGAAUUUCAGAUGCCAGCAGUUUCGGACUGAAGGCUUCUCAGAAUGAACUGACAAUGAAGUGACACAGCCACAUAUCGAUGCCAGCAGGGGGUGCUGCUGACAUAUUGAUGACCCAUGUCAAGCACCUGACCCCUAGGGUUGCAAGCACCGGCCAACGUGAAGGAUACCAAUUUACUAAAUGUCACUAUAUGAGAAUCUCAAUUUAAUUUCCUUUAUUCCUUGUGUCCUUUUGCCUCCUUUUCAAACCCCAUUGGGGGGGUUGAAAGAUCAGAAGGGAUGUCCCUGCCUUCUGAUCAUCUCAUUCAAUGCGUUUUGAGACUGAGGCAAGGAGAGGAUGCAAGGAAAAAAGGAAAUGCAAUUGAGAUUCUCCCUAUGUCAGUGAAGUGACUGUGAGGGUCCCACACUGAGGAUGACCUCUGUGGCCCAUUUUUCCAGGGACAAUAAUAUGGUGUAUGUUGCAUCAUCAUACAUUUUUGCUUUUUUCCACAAAAUGCUCAAUCAUAACUUUCCUGCUUGACAUACUCAACUUUUGGGACCAUAUCAACAGCGGACUUAUACCCAAACAUAUUUUAUUUUGUAAAGUGAUCCUUUUAAAAGUCCAAGCAAGCAGGUCAAAGCAUCACUAACUAGGCCUACUUUUAUUGUAAUGAAUGAUAGCUUAGGAAUUGUACAGUAGGUUGUUCACACUACAACAAAAUGUGGUGUGAAUACUUUCUGGCACUGUUGAGUGACUGUCAGUGACUGACAACAAGAGAAACUGCUGAUGCACAACCAAAUUUCUAACUUAAUGCUUCGGUAUCUCCCUUUCUCCUUUUCCUUACCCCUUUCUGUCACUUAUGCCUGGAGCCGGCUCUGAAAGCCGUAAAAAAAUAGUUCUCACAGCCUUUCAAGUCAAAAUGUCAGUUUAUUUAGAAGUAGUGUAAAUUCAACUAGGCCUAGUUUGUAUUCUCCAAAUACUCUCCCCAGGACUCCAUAGGAAUAGUUUCUUGUGACAGAAUAUACAUGUUGUUGGAUCUGGGUUCUGAGGUUACAACAGGAUGCAAUUCAGAUGAGAACUCUCAUCUCUAACAGUAGACUACUGCUCAAGUCUCCAAUGGUAACAACACAGCUAGAGCUCCAUCUCUUGGUUACAAAAUCACUCACCGUGCUGGAACUACUGACCAGUGCAAGGCUAAAUUCCUCUGGGAGUCCAUCCUGUUAUGCUGACCCCAGAAACCCCUCUGAUGAUCCUGAGGGAGGUUGAUCAUCCAGACUCAUCUCAGAAGGUUGUGUCGGAUACUGAGCUGAACCGUAGGCCUUGCAGUGUCCCGGGCCUGGCCCAGAGUGCUGUGCAUCAUAUGCAGGCCAGAGCCAAUGCCAGUAAGGUUUCUGGGUUCCUGACAGGGGAGUGGUUGAAGGAUAGUCCUCCUGUCAAUCAGGAGGUGAGCCAGCUCAAGAGGCCUGAACUGUAUCUCGAGGAUUGCAGCAUCAUAGCAAAC